AUGCGAAUCACCAGGGAUCUCCUGAGAACGCAGAUCCUGAUUUAUUGGGUCUGGGUGGGGGUGGGGGUGAGGCCGGAGACACUGCAUUUCUACUGAGUUCCCAGGUGAUGCGGAU
rnacentral:pre_miRNA from 1 species